rnacentral:rRNA from 1 species
GACGAACGCUGGCGGCGUGCUUAACACAUGCAAGUCGAACGGAAAGGCCCUGCUUUUCUGGGGUGCUCGAGUGGCGAACGGGUGAGUAACACGUGAGUAACCUGCCCUUGACUUUGGGAUAACUUCAGGAAACUGGGGCUAAUACCGGAUAGGAGCUCCUGCUGCAUGGUGGGGGUUGGAAAGUUUCGGCGGUUGGGGAUGGACUCGCGGCUUAUCAGCUUGUUGGUGGGGUAGUGGCUUACCAAGGCUUUGACGGGUAGCCGGCCUGAGAGGGUGACCGGCCACAUUGGGACUGAGAUACGGCCCAGACUCCUACGGGAGGCAGCAGUGGGGAAUAUUGCACAAUGGGCGGAAGCCUGAUGCAGCAACGCCGCGUGCGGGAUGACAGCCUUCGGGUUGUAAACCGCUUUCGCCUGUGACGAAGCGUGAGUGACGGUAAUGGGUAAAGAAGCACCGGCUAACUACGUG